GCAGCCCACCCCCCACGCUUCGACCCCACGGCUUACGUCAGGGCCCAGCAGCGCCGCAGGAAAGAGGCAGAGCUCAGGAACCAGCGGCGCAGCCCAGCCCCAAGCCGUGGCCGCAGCUCCUCAGCUGAGAGCUUUCGGCUGAGCUCUGGCAGUGAAGCUGAUGAAGGCUCCAAGGCCCCCAGG